GACGAACGCUGGCGGCGUGCCUAAUACAUGCAAGUAGAACGCUGAAGGAGGAGCUUGCUUCUCUGGAUGAGUUGCGAACGGGUGAGUAACGCGUAGGUAACCUGCCUUGUAGCGGGGGAUAACUAUUGGAAACGAUAGCUAAUACCGCAUAAUAGCAGUUAUUGCAUGAUAACUGUUUGAAAGGUGCAAUUGCACCACUACCAGAUGGACCUGCGUUGUAUUUGCUAGUUGGUGGGGUAACGGCUCGCCAAGGCGACGUUACAUAGCAGACCGGAGAGGGGGAGCGGCCACACUGGGACUGAGACACGGCCCAGACUCCUACGGGAGGCAGCAGUAGGGAAUCUUCGGCAAUGGACGGAAGUCUGACCGAGCAACGCCGCGGGAGUGAAGAAGGUUUUCGGAUCGUAAAGCUCUGUUGUAAGAGAAGAACGAGUGUGAGAGUGGAAAGUUCACACUGUGACGGUAACUUACCAGAAAGGGACGGCUAACUACGUG
rnacentral:rRNA from 1 species